rnacentral:lncRNA from 1 species
CAUUUUAUUUCUUACAAUAACUAAAAAUUUUCAUUUCAACCAAGCACAUGUAAUAUAAAUUUCCAAUCACCAACACAAGAAAAAAAAAAUUUGAAUCUCUGCUGCUGCCAUGGAUUCAUCGAGUGGAAUAUCGUCGAAUUCAUCGGGGCUGCAGACUCGGCAUCGAAGGAGGAUCUGCAGCAGACGAUGGAUUUGAGGAAGAGGAAGUGGAUUUGUUGACGUCCUCGAUGCCGAUUAUGCCCUGGAGGAAGUAGAGAGCGGGGCGGAGCUGCCGCUCCACGCUGCAGGCGAGGAGGCGGAGGUCGGCGGCGUCCACGCGGGCCUCGCGGAGGAGGAAGGUGGAAGACAACAGCCGCCGACUCUCCAGAUCUGGAGCAAGAUGUCGAAGACAACACCCC